AUGAAUGUAGCGGCGCCGGCGUAAAAGUCCAAGUUGUUUUAUUGCUGAUAAACACGAUGGAGUAGUGUAGUUGUUGAGUUUCCUCAGCUGAUUGACAGAAUACCUUAACAUCGUGUGCGUGUGGAGAUCAGCUGUAGCUGCUACUCGUGGAAGCGGUGCACAGGACCAGACCACAAGGCAGGGCACACCAGAAAAAUUCAAGUCCAGUUUACAGGUAUGAAAUCAGACCCAUCAAAUCUUCCUUGGUGAAUCACGGCCCUCCAAAUCUGCAUAGCAACCAGCGUCAGCCACAGCAGUAAAACACUGCAGCGGAGACAAGGAGGCCAGCAGAAAAAGGAGGGCACAGAGACACUCAGAGAAUGGAUAAACAGGUUCAUCAAGUCUCAUACAGGCAUAGUCAAUUUGUCUUCCGCUGCUGGGGGAUCCCUGAUUGCAGUCGAGGUACCUCGACCGGCCAGCAGAGACUGUAAUUGAAGCAGUGAUGUGGAAAACCUGCUCAUCAUUAUCUCUACAUCCUACAAAAACACAGCCAAUCGUGUGUCUGGGCCGAUUGACACACUAGCGGUUUUAUCAGCCACGACAGGAGCCCAUCCCCAGCUCUGAGGAACCAGCUGACGGGUGACUUGCAAUCCGGCGAACAUUCGACUUAAUGCCAUGACCUA